GACGAACGCUGGCGGCGCGCCUAAUGCAUGCAAGUCGAGCGACGCAUAUCGGAGGAGUAAUCCACUGAUAUGACGGAGCGGCGAACGGGUGAGUAUCACGUGAGAAACCUGCCCCGAAGACCGGGAUAGCCCGGGGAAACCCGGAUUAAUACCGGAUAUUCUCUACAGAUCGCAUGGUCUGCUGAGGAAAUGCCUUUGUGCUUCGGGAUGGCCUCGCGACCUAUCAGCUAGUUGGUGAGGUAAUGGCUCACCAAGGCAACGACGGGUAGCUGGUCUGAGAGGACGAUCAGCCACACUGGGACUGAGACACGGCCCAGACUCCUACGGGAGGCAGCAGCAGGGAAUCUUGUCCAAUGGGCGAAAGCCUGAGACAGCGACGCCGCGUGGGGGAUGAAGGCCUUCGGGUUGUAAACCCCUUUCAGGAGGGACGAAAUUGACGGUACCUCCAGAAGAAGCCCCGGCCAACUACGUG
rnacentral:rRNA from 1 species